UACGUAGGGUGCAAGCGUUGUCCGGAAUUAUUGGGCGUAAAGAGCUCGUAGGCGGUCUGUCGCGUCUCUGUGAAAACUCGGGGCUUAACCCCGAGCCUGCAGUGGAUACGGGCAGACUAGAGGUAGGUAGGGGAGAAUGGAAUUCCGGGUGUAGCGGUGGAAUGCGUAGAGAUCCGGAAGAACACCGGUGGCGAAGGCGGUCUGCUGGGGUGAGGCUGACGCUGAUGCGCGACAGCGUGGGGAGCAAACAGG
rnacentral:rRNA from 1 species